GAUGAAGAACGUAGCGAAAUGCGAUACGUAAUGUGAAUUGCAGAAUUCAGUGAAUCAUCGAAUCUUUGAACGCAUAUUGCGCUCUUUGGUAUUCCGAAGAGCAUGCUUGUUUGAGUAUCAGUAAACACCUCAACCUCUUCUUGAUUUUUCAAAAGGAGGGUGGACUCGAGCUAUCCCAACAACCUUUACCGGUCGGCGGGCGGCUUGAAAUGCAGGUGCAGCUGGACUUUUAUCUGAGCUAAAAGCAUAUCUAUUUAGUCCUCGUCAAACAGGAUUAUUACUUUUGCUGCAGCUAACAUAAAGGAUAAUUGUCCUCUUUGCUGACUGAUGCAGGAUUUUACGACACUUUAUGUGUUGUUCAACUCGAUCUCAAAUCAAGUAAGACUACCCGCUGAACUUAAGCAUAUCAAUAAGCGGAGGA
rnacentral:misc_RNA from 1 species